GGCGAACGCUGGCGGCGUGCUUAACACAUGCAAGUCGAACGGUAAGGCUCCAGCUCGCUGGGGUACACGAGUGGCGAACGGGUGAGUAACACGUGGGUGACCUGCCCUGCACUUCGGGAUAAGCCUGGGAAACUGGGUCUAAUACCGGAUAGGACCAUGGUGUGGAUACUGUGGUGGAAAGUUUUUUCGGUGUGGGAUGGGCCCGCGGCCUAUCAGCUUGUUGGUGGGGUAAUGGCCUACCAAGGCGGCGACGGGUAGCCGGCCUGAGAGGGUGGACGGCCACAUUGGGACUGAGACACGGCCCAGACUCCUACGGGAGGCAGCAGUGGGGAAUAUUGCACAAUGGGCGGAAGCCUGAUGCAGCGACGCCGCGUGGGGGAUGACGGCCUUCGGGUUGUAAACUCCUUUCACCAUCGACGAAGGGUUUCUGACGGUAGAUGGAGAAGAAGCACCGGCUAACUACGUG
rnacentral:rRNA from 1 species